GACAGAGGCCCCAAGCGUUAGGCGGAAUUACUGGGCGUAAAGCGUGCGUAGGUGGUUCGUUAAGUCUGAUGUGAAAGCCCUGGGCUCAACCUGGGAAUGGCAUUGGAAACUGGCGACCUAGAGUGCGGUAGAGGGUAGUGGAAUUCCCGGUGUAGCAGUGAAAUGCGUAGAGAUCGGGAGGAACAUCUGUGGCGAAGGCGACUGCCUGGACCAGCACUGACACUGAGGCACGAAAGCGUGGGGAGCAAACAGG
rnacentral:rRNA from 1 species